rnacentral:misc_RNA from 1 species
GAAUGAACAUGGAGUUGGUUGUCGCUGGCCCCUUUAUCGGGGCAUGUGCACGCCUCCUCUAUUCAUCCACACACACCUGUGAACUUGUGAGACGGAUAGUAGUCCUCUAGGGGGCGAGGUCCGUCUGCUCUACAUAAACUCAUAUCUAUAAUUCGAAUGUAAUUGAUGUAACACAUCUUUAAACUAAGUUUCAACAACGGAUCUCUUGGCUCU